GUCGAGAAUCUUCCGCAAUGGACGAAAGUCUGACGGAGCGACGCCGCGUGGAGGACGAAGGCAUUAGUGUUGUAAACUCCUGUCACGAAUUAUGAAUGUGCAGGCGAUAAUCUCGUCUGCAUUGACGUAAGUUCGAGAGGAAGCACCGGCUAACUCUGUGCCAGCAGCCGCGGUAAUACAGAGGGUGCGAACGUUGUUCGGAAUUACUGGGCAUAAAGCGCGCGUAGGCGGUCCGCUAAGUGUGGAGUGAAAGCCCGCGGCUUACCCGUGGAAUGGCUCUGCAUACUGGCGAACUAGAGGAUGGUAGGGGAGAGCGGAACUCUUGGUGGAGCGGUGAAAUGCGUAGAUAUCAAGAGGAACACCGAUGGCGAAGGCAGCUCUCUGGUCCAUUUCUGACGCUGAGGCGCGAAAGCUAGGGUAGCAAACGGGAUUAGAUACCCGAGUAGUCC
rnacentral:rRNA from 1 species